UACAGAGGGUGCGAGCGUUGUCCGGAAUCACUGGGCGUAAAGGGCGCGUAGGCGGCCUGAUAAGUAGGGGGUGAAAUCCUGUGGCUUAACUGCAGGGCUGCCUCCUAGACUGUUAGGCUCGAGCACGGUAGAGGCGGAUGGAAUUCCCGGUGUAGCGGUGGAAUGCGUAGAGAUCGGGAAGAACAUCGGUGGCGAAGGCGGUCUGCUGGGCCGUUGCUGACGCUGAGGCGCGACAGCGUGGGGAGCAAACAGG
rnacentral:rRNA from 1 species